ACGCUCGACACCUACUGGAGGCAGCAGUGGGGAAUAUUGCACAAUGGGGGAAACCCUGAUGCAGCGACGCCGCGUGGAGGAAGAAGGUCUUCGGAUUGUAAACUCCUGUUGUUGGGGAAAAAGAGGAUGGUACCCAACAAGGAAGUGACGGCUAACUACGUGCCAGCACGCCGACGGUAAUCUGAGGCGGGCUGGACAAGGC
rnacentral:rRNA from 1 species